UGCGCAAAAUAUCUGGGAUUGUUGACUGAUACACACCUGUGAUACACACUACACACAGUGUUGACAAUUAAAGUUGAUAUUAAUUCUUGUUUUUCGGUUUCGUCCUGUGAUUCCAUUAUUCAUCAGUUUGAGAUAAAAAUGGGAAAAAAACGGAUAACUGAUAAACUCUUUGGAGUAAAAAUUAUCUCAUUGAAGACUUUCGACGAUUUCAGUUAACUUUGAACUAACAACGAAAAAAAGGGAUUUUGUCGGAUAUGUGAACAUGACUGAAUACGACUCGUGUAAGAGUUGAAUACAAGGAGAAAAGAAUUUCAAUUACACCGUCCGCUUUUCGAGACGGAUUUCACCUCCCAAGACGAUAGAAGAGUAAGACUGCAAAUGUCCGAUGGAGUCCAGAUCGAACUCGAGUUUGAUUCAUUUGAUGACAAAGAGCACUUUAAAACAUCUUUAGGGGAUCUAAAUCAUCAUCGGAGGAGAGCAACCCAGCAGAAGAUUAAAUUAAUUAAAUUAAAUUUUGUUUUGCGUGUUGUAAUAAUAAAUAAUUGAAAAUG